rnacentral:tRNA from 1 species
GGAGAUGUGGCUCAGUAUUAGAGCAUUUGCCUAGUAUGCACAAGGCCCUGGGCUCCAUCUCCU